rnacentral:tRNA from 1 species
GCCGAGGUGGCGGAAUCGGCAGACGCGACGGACUUAAAAUCCGUUGCCCGCAAGGGCGUAGGGGUUCGACCCCCCUCCUCGGCA